rnacentral:rRNA from 1 species
UACGUAGGGCGCAAGCGUUGUCCGGAAUUAUUGGGCGUAAAGAGCUCGUAGGCGGUUUGUCGCGUCUGCUGUGAAAACUCGAGGCUCAACCUCGGGCUUGCAGUGGGUACGGGCAGACUAGAGUGCGGUAGGGGUGACUGGAAUUCCUGGUGUAGCGGUGGAAUGCGCAGAUAUCAGGAGGAACACCGAGUGGCGAAGGCAGGUCACUGGGGGUCUUCUGACGGCUGAGACGACGAAAGCCAGGGGAGCAAACGGGAUU